rnacentral:rRNA from 1 species
ACGGAAGGCAGCAGUGAGGAAUAUUGGUCAAUGGUCGGAAGACUGAACCAGCCAUGCCGCGUGAAGGAUUAAGGCCCUAUGGGUCGUAAACUUCUUUAGCUGUGGAGCAAUAAUCGCCAUGCAUGGCGAGAUGAGAGUACACAGAGAAUAAGGAUCGGCUAACUCCGUGCCAGCAGCCGCGGUAAUACGGAGGAUCCGAGCGUUAUCCGGAUUUAUUGGGUUUAAAGGGUGCGCAGGCGGCUUUCUAAGUCAGUGGUUAAAUAGCGGUGCUCAACGCCGUCCCGCCAUUGAUACUGGAGAGCUUGAUUGCGGUCGAGGUUUGCGGAAUUCGUCGUGUAGCGGUGAAAUGCAUAGAUAUGACGAAGAACACCGAUUGCGUAGGCAGCAGACCAGUCCGUAAAUGACGCUCAUGCACGAAAGUGCGGGGAUCGAACAGGAUUAGAUACCCUGGUA